CAGUAGAUGGCAGUAGCCGCCAGUCAGUGUAAGAUUCGCAGACACUGGAGGUCUAGCUUCGUAGCAGCCUUUGGAAUACUAGCAAACUAAGCGAGUUGAAAGCGAGUGCCUGCAUACAUGGUCAUAUGAAAGCUUUUAUGUUCUGUUUGCAGGUGCGCUCUUCACUGCAACAUCUGCUAUGAAUUAUCCAGAGCCCAGACAGACAUACGACUCGUCCGAAUCCUACUGCACACAUUUGGCAUCCCGAUAACAAUACUGGAGGUCAUGCAUGUCCUUCAAGUGGUGGAAAAUCCUGAUGUUAUGGCAGACAGAGAGGAUCUGCUCGCGUGGGACGUGUCCCGAGUUGGCACUGGUCGAAUGAAAGUUUGUAAGACGUCACACCCAGACGUCACCUCCGUACACCUGCCUCUUUAAUGUGAUUUAAGCGCCAGAUAAAAGGACUGUUUUCCGCGCUUAAAGACGAUGUAGACGGAGACGGCUUCUGAUUCGCAGUCUCCAUUAGCCGCGCGGGUCUGAAUCGCUCGCUGAUUGCGGCGUCCUUGACGGAGGCGAUACGCUUUCGGCGUCGGGUCCAGGCUGCGCCGUGGAAACGGGCUCGUGACGUUAACUUUUAUGCCUUUGGAAGCCGCCGCUGAUGUUCGGAAAUGAAGUGGCUUUUGAUCCAGAGUGAAUAUGUCUGCGGUGUCUGUCCAGGCUCACACACACACACACAGGGACUCAUUCACAUUGACCUAAGUAUUAUUCUGAGACCAGGUUAAGGGUUGUAGAUGGGUGGUACAUUCUCACGGUUUGGCUCUGCCCCGCUGGCUGCCAAUUAAGACAAUGGUUCCCAGGGCAACCAGGCACACCUGCAGCUGAUUAACUGCUCAUGUUAACCUAUUACCUGCGACUCACCAAUGCCACACAGGGUUGUGAAGUACCUGCCAGUGUCAGUUAUUUAUUUAUUUUUUUGGCUGUUCAAGUGUUUUUGACCCUGUACGCCACUUACUGUAUUGAAUGCACUCUGUAAUAUACUGUAAUAUUCAGGAAUCUUGAAUGGUGUCUAAACGGUAAAAGCAUUUCAAAUAAUUCUUUCACUCUGGUUUAAAGUCCACCUGGAUAGCGGGUGGACAAUUCCUAUUGCAGUUCUUCUCACACGUGAAUAGAAAAAUAUAUUCUUGACAGUUAAUUAAAGAAAGGCAUAUGUAAAUGGCCCUGGUUCAGUCGGUUGUGUGAAAGUUCUUCACUGCUAAUGCGCUUCGAAGCGUGCAAGGUUUGGGGGAGAGUAGCUCUACCCAAGGCUAGGUCUGGAGCUGUGGAUUCUAGAUAUCAGCAUUUUGCCUUCCUGCCAGUUUGCAGGCGCAUACAUCUCUAAUUAAAGAGUCUAAUUUUUAAUUAAAACAAGUAUGCAAAGCAGGCAAGGGAUCAGCGACUGCAGAAAGAGUGGCUGGAGAAACUGACACUGCAGAACGAUUAGCAUGAGGGACUGAGACUAGAAGGAGUUGGUGGAAAGACUGAGACUCCAAAGAUUGGUGUAACUGAGACUAUAGAAAGAGUGGUUGGACACUGCAGAAAGAUGUGUGAGUAACUGAGACUAAAGCCUGUUUCACAUGUGCACUGCUACCCUGAACUUGUCUAGACAUUACCCGGAGGAGCUGUAUGUGAGAACACAAAAUGUCCGAAUCAUUUGGACCGGACAUUAAACAGACUUUACCGAGCCAGCUCCCCAGUACAAAGUCCGUGUAAUGUCCGGU